UGGCUCGAGGACGAACGCUGGCGGCGUGCCUAACACAUGCAAGUCGAGCGAGGAGAUUCCUUCGGGAUGAUCCUAGCGGCGGACGGGUGAGUAACACGUGGGCAACCUGCCUCAUAGAGAGGAAUAGCCUUCCGAAAGGGAGAUUAAUACCUCAUAACAUUGCAGUUUCGCAUGAAACAGCAAUUAAAGGAGCAAUCCGCUAUGAGAUGGGCCCGCGGCGCAUUAGCUAGUUGGUGAGGUAACGGCUCACCAAGGCGACGAUGCGUAGCCGACCUGAGAGGGUGAUCGGCCACAUUGGGACUGAGACACGGCCCAGACUCCUACGGGAGGCAGCAGUGGGGAAUAUUGCACAAUGGGGGAAACCCUGAUGCCAGCAACGCCGCGUGAGUGAUGACGGCCUUCGGGUUGUAAAGCUCUGUCUUCAGGGACGAUAAUGACGGUACCUGAGGAGGAAGCCACGGCUAACUACGUGCCAGCCGCCGC
rnacentral:rRNA from 1 species